UACGUAAUAGAUCUCACCACUGAUUGGUCAGUUUUAAUUGUCUCUGAUUAAGCCGCACCCAUCAGAAAAACUCUCGACCAAUCACGACUGGAAGGAGGGUUCAUGGUAUUGAUUGAAAUAGAUUACUGGGAGUAUAUGAACUCAAAUAAAUAGGGGCUAAUAAUUAAACCUGAAUAUCAUUCAGACAUCUGACAGCUAUUCGAAGAACACAUAUUUACUUUUUCGACACAAUUUCAUAUUGACGAAGACAUCGCUUUUACUCGUUACUUUUUAAAGUAGUGUGAAGUUGCGGUUGGAACAAUAUCACCAUAAGGAUUGGAAGCGUUAAUAAUGUCGACUCAACUCCUCUCCACUCGACCCACCCGCUCUCCGAUGGCUGGGAAUGCUAACUCACCGGUCCCCAUCGAGGUACGCAAGCCCGAUUUCAACAAGGCCAUCGCUUCGGUCAUCUGGCUUCGACAUCAUCGACAACCAACCUCCCGGGUCUUUAACUGCCUUGUCUCGAACUGUCCUCUCUGUCCGGCCUCGAGUUUAACUAAAAGAUCCUUUUCAGCGAAACUUAGGAGCGUACCACAGCCACGAUGGAGGUCGACAUCUGAAAUUAAUCAACCAAAGGUCGUCAACUGGCUGAUACCGUCAUCGACACCCUCGUCGAGCUCCAUGUCCCAUCGAAAGAGGCCAUCAUCAUGGACAUCAUCCCCGCCGAAGAAGCGUCACGCCCGCUCACCUCCGUCUUCUCUCGAUCACCGCCCCGUCACUCCAGAAAGUCUCCGCUUCUGCUGUCCAUUCUGCCCGAUGUCGUUUGUCAAGAAGGACGAUUUUACCAUCCAUCGUCGGUUUCAUCUGGGAACUGAUGUCUACUACUGUCAAUAUUGCCAGAAGCCCUUCGACAGUCCUACUCGGUUGGUCAAACAUCGUCGCGUUCACACCCUAGGGCAGCCGUUUCGAUGUCCGUUCAAAGGAUGCCCUUCAGAGUUCACACAACAAAGAAGCCUGGAUAGACACAUCAGUCAGCAUCACCAGAACGAAUGAAUGACAGCGUAGAUCUUCCCAAAGAACUUUAUCAGAACUCUAAAAGCUUCCAUCUCGUUGAAGUGUACUGUAUUGUGCAAAAAGACAAAUUUGCUUGUAAGAAUGAAGCUAGGAUAUACUUAAAACUUUGGACUUCCCAUUGAAAACAACAACAAGCAACUUUUAGUGGCCGAUCGGGAAAAUGUGCAAAGCUGGAUCCGCCCCUCGUUAAAAGGUAACUUCAUAGCUUUUUCUGAACAAAAUUGUACAGAUUUGCACAAAAAUAUAUCUCGCUCCUGGGUGGGCUUGAACCACCAACCUUUCGGUUAACAGUCGAACGUGCUAACCAAUUGCGCCACAGAAGCUUCGGUACGGAAAAACUGCAGUUAAUUGUCUUUCAAAUGCAAGUUCUUUCGAAUCAUAAUUUUUACGAUGACAACUUCACAUCUCCAACAAAUUAUUGAUUUGAAAUAAACUUGUUUUAUGAAUAUAUGAAUACAUUCUAUUAAUCCGCGAAUAUAUUCAUGAUAAACAUUUAAAUGAGUGUUAUGUUUGAAGACAAAAUUUCCUAAAGAAAUACCUGAUAUUUUGGGGCAAACUACAGUAUAUAAAGCAGUAAUAUAUUUAAUUCGAUCUACUGUCUGUAUAGUGUAUAAGGUGGGUUAUCAUUCUUAGGAAUGUGAUGGACUCAAAUAUGCAUGAAUGGAAAUUCUCAUUUCAUUUGCGAGGUCUUUUCAUUGUAAAAUCAUCUGCCAAUUAGUUACGUAAUUAUAAUUAUUUCUAUUCAAUAGUGUUUAUCAAGAAGGUAGACCUAACUAUUGUUUGACGCUGUGAGAGGGGAGGAGACAAAGACCGCGUUACGUAAUAGACCUCCUCACCGAUUGGUCGGUUUAAUUAUCCCUAAUCAUGCCGCACCCAUUAGAUAAACUCUCGACCAAUCACAACUCAUAGAAGGGUUCUACGGAAAUGAUUAAAAUAUAUUACUGGGUGUAAACGCAAACUUUCUCCUCUCUCUAAUUUCGCUGUAGUCCAUCCAAGCAGAAAUUAAACAGCACAAAAUGCACAAGAUUUAUAUUUAUGAGGAGUGAGAGAAGAAGAGAGGGGAGGAAGCAGGCUGAUGAGCGAUAUGUGCAUUUAAUACCCAGAAGAAAAAUGAUACAGAAAGAAAGUAAAAUGAUAAUAAAGUAAAUAAAGACAGGGUGAUGACAGGAGUUUUGCUUUCAAAACUGUCUUAAUGAACUAUAGGGGUGUCCAUUAAAUAUCAUGAAAUGAUUUCUUACAGUUUAUUUAACUCCCCUUUAUUAUACCCCCUCUUUUCCAUUUAUUAUUGUUUAUAAACUUUCCCUUUAGUGGCAUUUUGAUUUGAAUAGUUCAAUACGUUGUUACAGUUCUAGAAAGAUCCAUGGUUAAAAUGGAAAUUUUAUCUAAUAUUCUGUUUACAAUAUAGGUAUAAAUAAUGUUAUAGGCCUAUAUCAAUCAGGUAUGAAAAUUGUAACUUUAGUCUCAAACAAAUUAUGUCAUAGGCCAAUAAACAUAUGAUUAUUCAUGGAACUUUACAAUUAUCUUUUAAAGAGAAUUGUAAAUAUCUCUGAAAGAUAAAGCUUAAAAAUAUAGAAAUGUAUAUUAAAUUACGGGCAUACAACUAUGUCCCUUUCCCUAGCUCUGCGUGUCAAAUCCAAACUUUAUUCGUUAUUUCAACAAGUUACCAAUUCAUAAGCACAUAAGAGACCAACAACAGUAUGAAUAUAAAACAUCAAUACAGGUUUAUAAUAUAAUACAGAGUAAAAACGAACGAAAUUAAAGCUAUAUAAAAAGCAGUAAGCCAAGAGCCCGAAGGCAAAUGCAAAGAUAAGCACACGACACUAACAAUAUCUAAAUUACUUUUGUAACAAUUAUGUUGCUUGACUUUAUGAAUCACCUCGAUAUAGGAGGCCCAUAAUAUAAUAUAGAAAAAUAGUUUAAUCAAAA